CAGAGAAUAGUUUAAUAAAAAAUAGCAAUUUUGGAGAUUGUUGAUAAGAGUUUAUCUUUUCUCUGA
rnacentral:tRNA from 1 species